GGGGGAUUUCUAAUUAAAUAAGGUGUAAACUAACAAUUGUCAAAAGUAAAACCAUCCUUUUAACCAAAAACAGUAUGCUAUUAAUAAAAAAGAACUAUUAUCGCUAUAGCAAUUUGAAAAUGUACGAUUAUGUAUAAUAAUCUAUUCACACUAAUCUUGAGUAGCUUUGUUUUCAGUUUUAUCUACACUGUUUCCAAGAUGGACCGUAUCUCGUUCUGCACACUUUGCAUAGUCGUCGUUUUGUGUGUUGCUAGCUUACCUAGCAAUAGAAAAGGGUAUACACAAGAAAAGAGUCCAGGUCAAGAACCACAGUCCCAGAUUGGUCACUGGCUACCAGGCUAUGUCCUACGUGCUGUUGCCCAUGAUUGCUGUCCUCCAGACAAUAGAUGGAUACUAGAUGAUGUCAAUAAAUACGCCUAAUCAUUAGUGUUUCCAGGGCAAGGUCAAUGAAAAGUACUAAAAAGUAGUAAAGUACACCAGUGGAACUAACAGUUUUUAUUUCGUCAAUAAUAAAUACAAAAAUAAAGUAGUUUUUUUCUUGAAGAGAACUAAAUGUCCAUGAAGUGUAUGUAAACAAUUAACUAUUUGGUGCUUAGAAAAGAGAUGACUUGUGUCAUAAAUGAUUUUCUUUGUACAUGAAUAGUACAAUCCAGAGUUUAGAAAAGUCAUAUCCAUUUGCGUGGUCAACCGAAAGAUGAAAUAGAAAAAAACCUUUUUUCUUUCUUUUUGCUAUCAAAUAUCUGAGCGUCUUGUGAUAUCUCUUUGACUUUUAUUUAUCUCAUCGAUUUGUGUAA